rnacentral:ncRNA from 1 species
AAAUUGGCGUUGAAGAGAAGAGUAGCACAGAUGUCCGCCUUCAGAGAAAAGUCAUUUGGUGAGAGGCUUUGGCAGACGAGUGUGUGAAGAUGAGCUCUGAGCCGUGUGUAAGUUCACGCUUAUACACCGUGGGCAAGCGUUAUUUUGCCGGGUAUCCUUUUUUAGAGCGGGUACCGUUGAGGCGUCAUUAAUGACGCGAAAAUAGGGUGGUAACACGCAAACGCGUCCCUCAG